rnacentral:rRNA from 1 species
CAGCAGCCACGGGAAUACGUAGGUGGCAAGCGUUGUCCGGAAUUAUUGGGCGUAAAGCGCGCGCAGGCGGAUCAGUUAGUCUGUCUUAAAAGUUCGGGGCUUAACCCCGUGAGGGGAUGGAAACUGCUGAUCUAGAGUAUCGGAGAGGAAAGUGGAAUUCCUAGUGUAGCGGUGAAAUGCGUAGAUAUUAGGAAGAACACCAGUGGCGAAGGCGACUUUCUGGACGAAAACUGACGCUGAGGCGCGAAAGCCAGGGGAGCGAACGGGAUUAGAUACCCCAGUAGUCCCUGUCUCUUAUACA